rnacentral:lncRNA from 1 species
UCUGAUGAACAUUCUUCUCCCACUCCCUAGAUUUUUGGUGUUUGCUCUCUGGCCCCCCAGAAAGAGAGAACAUAGUAGCUUAAAGAAACAGAUGGCACAGACAAGAAUUUGUGUUCGAUCUCUCCUGUUCGUUGAAUGGAUCCUCUCACACUAUCUUAUUUCUCAAGAUCUCGGAGUUUGAAAGCAUGAGGAAAAUUGACAGACCCUCUAGGUACUGGAGUCAAGAAAAUAAUCCAAUCCUGGCAACAAAAGAUAGAAAAGGGACAAAAUUUGUUAAUGUUAUUUAAUCCUCAUUUUAUCACCAAGCCUAACAGGAAUGCACCAUUUUAAACAAGCUUGGAGGAUAUGACCAUGAUGUUGGUGGGGCCUGUGCUAAUGUAUGUCCCUUAUGAGCAAACCCCAUUACCUCAGGAAAGAGUUCUGGCCCUUCCUUUUCCCUCUCAUAAAGAAAUCUAUUCUGUUGGGUGCACGUGCUCAUGGUCACACCAGGCAUGAGUAGAAGCCUUGAAGCAUCUACACUGGUUUCUUCAGGAGUAUGUGACCAGCUUCUAUUUAAGCACCGAGCUUAUAAAUGAGUUCCUACAAUUUUCUGCUGCACAUGCCCUCCCAAAGCAAUAUCUGAUGCAGAAAGGAGUAUAGGCUCGGACACUGAGCAUGUUUCAGCCCUUUGGAGCAGGGACUUACCAUCCGUAGAAGGCCACUAGUCAUCAUUUUAUUACUUUAGAAGUAAGAGAAGGAUUUUUUCUCCUUUGAGUAAAAAAUGUUGUAGUAGAUUCUCUUGCUAAAAGAGUCAUUUAAAUAUUACUG